GGGUAUCAUGUGGCCACUCAUUGCUAAUAAAAAAGGUGAUUGGUAUGAUGCAAAACUUAAGCCAAGCAGCUUAGAGGGCCUUCAAGGUUACAAGGCAAGUCAUCCUUUACCACUCAAUUUUUACUAUGUUCCGUAUUUUGUAACAUUAACCUUUAGGUUAAUUAAACGCUAAUUGAUUAAACGUUAACCUUUGAUUUUUCUGUUCUAACUGGACAACAUAUGCUGAGCCCUAGGCAAAGAAGGCUGAAAAAGAUCGUUAAUGGUGGAUGGUGUGGGUGGAAGAAAGCUGUUGAUAGCAAGGGAAAGAAUUUCUUCUUGCAUGUUUUAUAAUCUCCUUCUACCACAGAGGCCUAACAUGGUUUGAUAGGAUCAUUUUCAUGGAGGGUAACAGUUCCUAGUUUGUACCAAUUUUCUUGCAAUGGAAUGGUAGUUUUUCAUGGUUGGAAUUUGAUAGUUCAGUUAAUUAGUUGACUUACUUUUGGGUUGGUGUUUGUAACUGGCUUUCUGCGAAUGAA